UACGGAGGAUCCAAGCGUUAUCCGGAAUCAUUGGGUUUAAAGGGUCCGUAGGCGGUUUUGUAAGUCAGUGGUGAAAGCCCAUCGCUCAACGGUGGAACGGCCAUUGAUACUGCAAGACUUGAAUUAUUAGGAAGUAACUAGAAUAUGUAGUGUAGCGGUGAAAUGCUUAGAGAUUACAUGGAAUACCAAUUGCGAAGGCAGGUUACUACUAAUGGAUCGACGCUGAUGGACGAAAGCGUGGGGAGCGAACAGG
rnacentral:rRNA from 1 species